rnacentral:rRNA from 1 species
CUGCCCAAUGAUAUUUUAUUUAAUGGCCGCAGUAUUUUGACUGUGCAAAGGUAGCAUAAUAAUUAGUCUAUUAAUUGUAGGCUGGUAUGAAAGAUUGAACGAGGUAAAUACUGUCUCAUUAAAAUUUUUAUUAGAAUUUAAUUUUUGAGUUAAAAAGCUUAAAUUUUAUUAGAGGACGAGAAGACCCUAUAGAACUUUAUAAUUUUAUAUUUUUUUGAAUUAAAUUUAUUUGAUAAUAUUUAAAAUUAUUUUAUUGGGGCGAUAGGAAAAUUUAAUAAACUUUUUUAAUUAAUAUUACAAUGAUGUUUGAAUUUUUGAUCCUAGUUUUUAGAUUAAUAGAUUAAGUUACCUUAGGGAUAACAGCGUUAUUUUUUUUAGAAGUUCAUAUUAAUAAAAAAGAUUGCGACCUCGAUGUUGGAUUAAAAUUAUUUUCAGGUGCAGAAGCUUGAAUAUU